rnacentral:lncRNA from 1 species
AAAAGGCCGUCGUGGAAAUUCUCCAAAAGCCUCGCUACGGUCCGAACCCCCGUAAAUAAGAAGUUCACCCACCUCUGCGUUGAUAAUUCUCCAUCAAGGCAGUCAGUUCCUCUCCCAGAAACUAGUUAUCUCCCUCUUGGAGACUAGGAAGUCAACAGAAUGGCCGUUCUAGUUCCAUCCUAGAACCAUAGAAUUUUAUAGAUGAAAGAACCUUAAGAGAUCCUUGGUCCAAACUCUUUUGAAGUAGGGCAGGGAUUCAAAGAAGUUUAACCUACCCAAGAUUGACCAGCAGAGUCCUGGUCUGUACUCCCUCGCUGCUUUUCCUUAUUGAACAACUGACCUUAUAGGUAUCAUUCAGAGUUAAUCUUUUUAAAUGUUCAUUUCCCCUGUUUCUUUUUAUCCUGAAUUAGUGUUUAUGAGAACACCUUUCUCUGAAGCGUGGAAGGGCCCUCUCUUUGUUCCCUUCAUAAUCACUAGGAGGAUUGACUCUACCACACAAGGAUUUAUCCCCAGAUGUAUGCUCUUGCAGUAACUGAGGCAGGGCAAGGGGAGUGGCAACUUGCAGCCUGACUUAACUCCACACCUUGACUCCCUGCUGCUUUUCCAUCUGGGAGAAGAGUAUUUUGAAGGAUGCCUUUAAAAGAGAAAAGGAUAGUAUGCCCUGAGGCGGUAGGAAAUAACGUUUUGGAAACAGUUUUCAAGUUAGGGAGGAUAACCAGUUGCAAAGGUUUCCAAAAUAGAAAAACAAAACACUGACCGUCUCUCAGAUAGCAGCAUAUUAGCCAUUCCUUUUUACUUAGUAUUUAGUUACUUUUGAUUUUUUUAAAAAAGCAGUAGUCAAAAGAACCAAAAAAGGAUAAAAGCAUGACUCAAAGGAGAAAGUUACAAUAAUAGAAAAAUCUAUCAGUGAAACAAGAAAAAUAUUCCACUAGAACUUCAAACUUUCACAAUUCUUGCAAAACAUUUCUCUGGGUCACUGCUAAUGGGACGCUUCUAUUCUGUCUAUUACAGCAUUGCUACAUCUAUGAAGGAAGCUGAAAAGGGGGAAGAUUUUUUUUUCCUUUCUAGCCCUGUUGCUGAUACUCAGAAUACUAAAAUUACCUGGAUAAGUGGGAAUCAGAAGAAGAGAGACUUACUAUUCAUUGUAUAGUCUUUUUCAUCUUUUGAAGCAAUUGCUUAAAAGGAUAUGCCUUUUUGCAUACUUCGGCAGCACAUGUACUAAAAUUGGAAUGACACAGCAAAGAUUAGCAUGGUCUCUGCACAAGGACGACACACCAAUUGGUGAAGUGGACUGUACUUUAAAAAAAAAAGAUAUGCCUUUAAUUUAACAAAGAAUUGACAACAUUAAUUUGAUGAUUGCAGAAGAGACCACCUGUUACAAUUCCCACCUACCUGAGGAUCCAGCUGAAUUAAAGAUGGGACGUAGCAGCAACUGAUGGCUUAGAAAGAACAAGGAAAGUCUUUAAAAAACUGGUCACCCCGUGGAGUGCUCCUCUUUUAUUUUACAGUAAUUUUGUCUCCUCAAAACCCUUUUAUUCUCUAUUCCACCCCCAAUAAAUUCCUCCCUCUAAUCUACAGUGUAAAAGAGAUGUUCUCCAAAUUUUAAAACUGUAAAACACAUUUUAGGUCAAUAUUUCAUGUAGAAUAAAUUUAAUUUUGACAUACAUUUAUUUUAUAAGCUCAUUUACAUUUACUUUUAUCAAGUCAAUCAAAAGGAACAAUAAAGCCAUUUUGAUGAAUGUGAAAAAUGGAAAUCAGAAGUUAUGUAUAAUCAUUUCGGUUGUCUUUGUCUUUUCCUCCAAUUAUUAGUUUUAUUUUUAAAAUUUUUGAUUGGGCUAGGUCAUUCUUGCUGAGUAGGUUUUUCUCCAGUUGCAGCAAGCAGAGGCUACUCUCUAGUUGCUGUUGGCGGGCUUCGUAUUGCGGUGGCCUCUCUUGUUUCAGAGCAUGGGCUCUAGGGCAAAUGGACUUCAGUAGUCACAGAAUUUGGGCUCA